GAAGAGGGUCUUCUUGUGGGGGGGGUGAAAGGCGAGGGAGUCCGCGGUGGAGCGAAGGCGGGCGAUGUAGGUGGCAUAGGUGCUGCUUAGGUAGGGUGAGGGAGAGAAAAAAAGAUGCCUAUGCGACUUUCUAAAUGAUAAUUUACCAUUUGAUUUAUCUUACUAUUCCCUUUUUUUUUCUCAACUAUUUCUCUUCCCGUCAAUUUCUUUUAUUCAUUUGUUAUUAAUUCUCCAUAUUAAUCACCCCAAUUUAAGUUCAAAAUUUAAUUUUAGAUAACGGGUGACCUUCUAAAUUAUCAAUUAGCAAUUUGAUUUAUGAAUGUGUAACUUAAUUAAUGUUUUUUUCUUUUUUAGCAAUGUUUAAUUAGCAAUUGUUCUCAUUUAUAUCUAAAAAUAAAAGUAAGAGAUAUGAUAAAAAGAAGGCAUAGGAAGAAAAAAUAUUUCAUAUUAAUUAAAAAAUAAUGAGCCCCACUACUCACAAAUCAUGAUAACUUUUAAAUAUAACGUAAGAGAGAUGAAAAGAAAAACCGUAGGAAGAGAAAGAAAUAUUAUGGAUUCAUUAUGUUUGGUUCGGUUCAAAGUGGGUUAUUAUUUUUUAGAGAAUUGAUUUGGCUCAAAGUGGGUUUUUAUUUUCUAUCUAUUAAUCUAAGAAUGAAGGGUUUCUUGCCACUUAGCAAGAAACAUUGUGGAUUCAUUAUGUUUAAUAGAUAAUAGAUUCUUCACACCGAUCUUAUCUGGACAAAAUAUGAAUUUCUCCAAUGGUAGCGGCUUUGUGAAAAUAUCAGCCAUCUGCUCAUCGGUUGCACAGUGUAUUAACUCGAGCCCUUCUUAUACAUUUUCGAUCAUCAACUGAACCUAUCCAAUCACUAUUAAAAUAACCAAAAUAAAAAUCGUUAGGGUUAGUAUACCACAACCGGUGGUCUCUUGUUCCUUUCGAAUAUCUCAAUAUCCUUUUAACUUUAUAUUCCCACUUAAAUCCAAUAACUUUUUUCUCUAUAGAUGACUCAACAAACUUGUAAAUAUUAUUUUUCCUUAACACCGCAUUUUCUUUAUUCAUGGCCUUACA
rnacentral:lncRNA from 1 species